GAUGAACGCUAGCGGCAAGGCUUAAUACAUGCAAGUCGAGGGGCAGCAGGUCCGUAGCAAUACGGAUGCUGGCGACCGGCAAACGGGUGCGGAACACGUACAGAACCUUCCUUUAAGCGGGGAAUAGCCCGGGGAAACCCGGAUUAAUACCCCAUAGUAUGGUGGAGAGGCAUCUCUCUAUUAUUAAAGAUUUAUCACUUGAAGAUGGCUGUGCGGCUGAUUAGGUAGUUGGCGGGGUAACGGCCCACCAAGCCUGCGAUCAGUAACUGGUGUGAGAGCACGACCAGUCACACGGGCACUGAGACACGGGCCCGACUCCUACGGGAGGCAGCAGUGAGGAAUAUUGGUCAAUGGUCGGAAGACUGAACCAGCCAAGUAGCGUGAAGGAUGAAGGUUCUAUGGAUUGUAAACUUCUUUUAUACGGGAAUAAAACCACCUACGUGUAGGUGCUUGUAUGUACCGUAUGAAUAAGCAUCGGCUAACUCCGUG
rnacentral:rRNA from 1 species